rnacentral:rRNA from 1 species
UCGGGAAUUUUGGGCAAUGGGGGAAACCCUGACCCAGCAACGCCGCGUGAAGGAUGAAGUAUUUCGGUAUGUAAACUUCGAAAGAAUAGGAAGAAUAAAUGACGGUACUAUUUAUAAGCUCCGGCUAACUUCGUGCCAGCAGCCGCGGUAAUACGAAGGGGGCUAGCGUUGUUCGGAUUUACUGGGCGUAAAGCGCGUGUAGGCGGGUCGUUAAGUUGGGGGUGAAAUCCCGAGGCUCAACCUCGGAACUGCCUUCAAAACUGGCGACCUGGACCUAAGUAGAGGCAAGUGGAAUUGCGAGUGUAGAGGUGAAAUUCGUAGAUAUUCGCAGGAACACCAGUGGCGAAGGCGACUUGCUGGGACUUAUGGUGACGCUGAGACGCGAAAGCGUGGGGAGCAAACAGGAUUAGAUACCCGGGUAGUCCCUGAGCGGGCUGGCAAGGCGC